UACGGAGGGGGCGAGUGUUGUUCGGAAUUACUGGGCGUAAAGGGCGCGCAGGCGGUCGUUCAAGUCGAGUGUGAAAGCCCCCGGCUCAACUGGGGAGGGUCAUUCGAUACUGAUCGACUCGAAGGCAGGUGAGGGUAGUGGAAUUCCCGGUGUAGUGGUGAAAUGCGUAGAUAUCGGGAGGAACACCAGUGGCGAAGGCGACUACCUGGCCUGUUCUUGACGCUGAGGCGCGAAAGCUAGGGGAGCAAACGGG
rnacentral:rRNA from 1 species